CAUACUUGGAGACAUUCAAAAAUCAUCUGGACAUAGUCCUGGGCAACCAGCUCUAGGUGGCCCUGCUUGAGCAGGAUGGUUGGAUCAGAUGACCUCCACAUGUCUCUUCCAACCUCAACCACUCUGUGAUUCUCCAAAAGAUUUCU